GGUUAAGCGACUAAGCGUACACGGUGGAUGCCCUGGCAGUCAGAGGCGAUGAAGGACGUGCUAAUCUGCGAAAAGCGUCGGUAAGGUGAUAUGAACCGUUAUAGCCGGCGAUGUCCGAAUGGGGAAACCCAGUGCAAUUCGUUGCACUAUCGUUAACUGAAUACAUAGGUUAACGAGGCGAACCGGGGGAACUGAAACAUCUAAGUACCCCGAGGAAAAGAAAUCAACCGAGAUUCCCCCAGUAGCGGCGAGCGAACGGGGAGCAGCCCAGAGUCUGAAUCAGCUUGUGUGUUAGUGGAACGGUCUGGAAAGUCCGACGGUACAGGGUGAUAGUCCCGUACACCAAAAUGCACAGGUUGUGAACUCGAAGAGUAGGGCGGGACACGUGGUAUCCUGUCUGAAUAUGGGGGGACCAUCCUCCAAGGCUAAAUACUCCUGACUGACCGAUAGUGAACCAGUACCGUGAGGGAAAGGCGAAAAGAACCCCGGCGAGGGGAGUGAAAAAGAACCUGAAACCGUGUACGUACAAGCAGUGGGAGCACCUUUAUGGUGUGACUGCGUACCUUUUGUAUAAUGGGUCAGCGACUUAUAUUCUGUAGCAAGGUUAACCGUAUAGGGGAGCCGCAGGGAAACCGAGUCUUAACUGGGCGUUAAGUUGCAGGGUAUAGACCCGAAACCCGGUGAUCUAGCCAUGGGCAGGUUGAAGGUUGGGUAACACUAACUGGAGGACCGAACCGACUAAUGUUGAAAAAUUAGCGGAUGACUUGUGGCUGGGGGUGAAAGGCCAAUCAAACCGGGAGAUAGCUGGUUCUCCCCGAAAGCUAUUUAGGUAGCGCCUCGUGAACUCAUCUUCGGGGGUAGAGCACUGUUUCGGCUAGGGGGUCAUCCCGACUUACCAACCCGAUGCAAACUACGAAUACCGAAGAAUGUUAUCACGGGAGACACACGGCGGGUGCUAACGUCCGUCGUGAAGAGGGAAACAACCCAGACCGCCAGCUAAGGUCCCAAAGUCACAGUUAAGUGGGAAACGAUGUGGGAAGGCACAGACAGCCAGGAUGUUGGCUUAGAAGCAGCCAUCAUUUAAAGAAAGCGUAAUAGCUCACUGGUCGAGUCGGCCUGCGCGGAAGAUGUAACGGGGCUAAACUGUGCACCGAAGCUGCGGCAGCGACACUAUGUGUUGUUGGGUAGGGGAGCGUUCUGUAAGCCUGCGAAGGUGGCCUGUGAGGGUUGCUGGAGGUAUCAGAAGUGCGAAUGCUGACAUAAGUAACGAUAAUGCGGGUGAAAAGCCCGCACGCCGGAAGACCAAGGGUUCCUGUCCAACGUUAAUCGGGGCAGGGUGAGUCGACCCCUAAGGCGAGGCCGAAAGGCGUAGUCGAUGGGAAACAGGUUAAUAUUCCUGUACUUGGUGUUACUGCGAAGGGGGGACGGAGAAGGCUAUGUUAGCCGGGCGACGGUUGUCCCGGUUUAAGCAUGUAGGCGGAGGUUCCAGGUAAAUCCGGUACCUUAUUAACGCUGAGGUGUGAUGACGAGGCACUACGGUGCUGAAGUAACAAAUGCUCUGCUUCCAGGAAAAGCCUCUAAGCAUCAGGUAACAUUAAAUCGUACCCCAAACCGACACAGGUGGUCAGGUAGAGAAUACCAAGGCGCUUGAGAGAACUCGGGUGAAGGAACUAGGCAAAAUGGUGCCGUAACUUCGGGAGAAGGCACGCUGAUAUGUAGGUGAAGUCCCUGCGGAUGGAGCUGAAAUCAGUCGAAGAUACCAGCUGGCUGCAACUGUUUAUUAAAAACACAGCACUGUGCAAACACGAAAGUGGACGUAUACGGUGUGACGCCUGCCCGGUGCCGGAAGGUUAAUUGAUGGGGUUAUCCGUAAGGAGAAGCUCUUGAUCGAAGCCCCGGUAAACGGCGGCCGUAACUAUAACGGUCCUAAGGUAGCGAAAUUCCUUGUCGGGUAAGUUCCGACCUGCACGAAUGGCGUAAUGAUGGCCAGGCUGUCUCCACCCGAGACUCAGUGAAAUUGAACUCGCUGUGAAGAUGCAGUGUACCCGCGGCAAGACGGAAAGACCCCGUGAACCUUUACUAUAGCUUGACACUGAACAUUGAGCCUUGAUGUGUAGGAUAGGUGGGAGGCUUUGAAGCGUGGACGCCAGUCUGCGUGGAGCCAACCUUGAAAUACCACCCUUUAAUGUUUGAUGUUCUAACGUUGGCCCCUGACCGGGGUUGCGGACAGUGUCUGGUGGGUAGUUUGACUGGGGCGGUCUCCUCCCAAAGAGUAACGGAGGAGCACGAAGGUUAGCUAAUCCUGGUCGGACAUCAGGAGGUUAGUGCAAUGGCAUAAGCUAGCUUGACUGCGAGCGUGACGGCGCGAGCAGGUGCGAAAGCAGGUCAUAGUGAUCCGGUGGUUCUGAAUGGAAGGGCCAUCGCUCAACGGAUAAAAGGUACUCCGGGGAUAACAGGCUGAUACCGCCCAAGAGUUCAUAUCGACGGCGGUGUUUGGCACCUCGAUGUCGGCUCAUCACAUCCUGGGGCUGAAGUAGGUCCCAAGGGUAUGGCUGUUCGCCAUUUAAAGUGGUACGCGAGCUGGGUUUAGAACGUCGUGAGACAGUUCGGUCCCUAUCUGCCGUGGGCGCUGGAGAAUUGAGGGGGGCUGCUCCUAGUACGAGAGGACCGGAGUGGACGCAUCACUGGUGUUCGGGUUGUCAUGCCAAUGGCAUUGCCCGGUAGCUAAAUGCGGAAGAGAUAAGUGCUGAAAGCAUCUAAGCACGAAACUUGCCCCGAGAUGAGUUCUCCCUGAGACUUUAAGUCUCCUGAAGGAACGUUAAAGACGAUGACGUUGAUAGGUCGGGUGUGUAAGCGUAGCGAUACGUUGAGCUAACCGAUACUAAUGAACCGUGAGGCUUAACCUU
rnacentral:rRNA from 1 species